rnacentral:lncRNA from 10 species
UUGUAAACAACAUCUGCUAACUUUUUGCAAGUCCAGCUAGAUUAUAAACUUCUUAGAUUUUUGUAUCAAGCACACAUGUCAGUUAAAGAGUUAUAAAAAUAGUAAACUCCCACUAAAAAGGGAGAAAUGAAACCAGUAGCAAAGACUAGAUUUUGAGAUGAAUGUGUGUCUUAGUCUGUUUUGUGCUGCUAUAAUAGAAUACUACAGACUGGACAAUUUGUAAUGAACAGAAAUUUAUUUUUCACAGUCUGGAGGCUGCGAAGUCCAAGGUCUAGAAGAUAGCAUUUGACAGUGGCCUUCUUUGUGUGUUAUAACAGGAUGGAAGACAUCACAUAGCAGAAGGGCAGAGAGAGAGAGAGAGAGAAAGAGAGAGAGAGAAUGAACCCACUCUCAUUCAUGAGGGUAGGAAGCUCUCAUGACCUAAACACCUCUUAAAUGUUCCAUCUCGUAAUACUGUUACAGUGACAACUUCAACAUGAGUUGUCACUCAUGUUGUCACUCAAAUUUCAACAUGAGUUUUGAGGGGAUAAAAAUUCAAACAAUAGCAAGGUGAAAACUGUUCGGAAUGUUUCUUUAGGGUCUAGCCCAGCACUCUAUGGUACAGAAAAAGUAGGGAGGGAGAAUGGAGUGGAGUGUCUAGGUUCUUUUUGAUUAUGGACACAGAAGGCAUAAUUUUCUCAGAUUAAACAUCAUCCUGGGGAUUCUUUCUUGCUUUUACAUUUUAGGUAUAGAAAACUUGGGGACCUGUGGGGAAAGCAAAAGAGACAAACACAUGUUACUAUUUUGCAAUAUGCCUGACAUGAUCUUGGCUGCUUUUAAUAUGUUAUCUUAUUGGAUCCUUAUAUCAAACAAGGCUAUGAAAUAGCUGCUAGUGGGCCAAGUGUGGUGGCUCAUGCCUGUAAUCCCAGCAGUUUGGAAGGCUGAGGCAGGUGGAUCACUUGAGGUCAGGAGUUCAAGAUUAGCCUCGCG